UACGGGGGGGGCAAGCGUUGUUCGGAAUUACUGGGCGUAAAGGGCUCGUAGGCGGCCAACUAAGUCCGACGUGAAAUCCCAAGGCUUAACCUUGGAACUGCGUCGGAUACUGGAUGGCUUGAAUUCGGGAGAGGGAUGCAGAAUUCCAGGUGUAGCGGUGAAAUGCGUAGAUAUCAGGAGGAACACCUAUGGCGAAGGCAGCUCGCUGGGACGGUACUGACGCUGAGGCGCGAAAGCGUGGGGAGCGAACAGG
rnacentral:rRNA from 1 species